UGCUUCAUACAUGCAAGUCGAACGAGAAUGCUCCCUUCGGGGAGUGAGUACUGUGGCGAACGGGUGCGUAACACGUGAGCAAUCUGCCUCGAAGCUGGGGAUAACCUUCCUAACGGGGGGCUAAUACCGGAUGUGUUUACCGGAUGGCAUCGUCUGGUGAAUAAAGAUGGCGUGCUGAACGCUAUCACUUCGAGAUGAGCUCGCGGCCUAUUAGCUUGUUAGUGGGGUAACGGCCUACCAAGGCUGCGAUGGGUAGCCGGCCUGAGAGGGUGACCGGCCACAUUGGGACUGAGAUACGGCCCAGACUCCUACGGGAGGCAGCAGUAGGGAAUAUUGCGCAAUGGGGGAAACCCUGACGCAGCAACGCCGCGUGAGCGAUGAAGGCCUUCGGGUCGUAAAGCUCUGUCAGGAGGGAAGAACCCCGGAUGAUGGAUAAUAUCGGCCGGCUGACGGUACCUCCAGAGGAAGCUCCGGAUAACUCCGUGCCAGCAGCCGCGGUAAUACGGAGGGAGCGAGCGUUGUACGGAAAUUACUGGGCGUAAAGGGCGCGCAGGCGAAUUGGUAAGUCAGAUGUUGAAUUCAACGGCUUAACCGGUUGAACUGCAUCCGAUACUGCCAGGCUUGAGAUCAGUAGAGGAGACUGGAAUUCCCAGUGUAGCGGUGGAAUGCGUAGAUAUCGGGAAGAACACCGGUGGCGAA
rnacentral:rRNA from 1 species